rnacentral:rRNA from 1 species
AUUAAACGCUGGCGGCAUGCCUUACACAUGCAAGUCGAACGGCAGCACGGGGCAACCUGGUGGCGAGUGGCGAACGGGUGAGUAAAGCAUCGGAACGUGCCCUGGAGUGGGGGAUAACGUAGCGAAAGUUACGCUAAUACCGCAUAUUCUGUGAGCAGGAAAGCAGGGGAUCGCAAGACCUUGCGCUCUGGGAGCGGCCGAUGUCGGAUUAGCUAGUUGGUGGGGUGAAGGCCUACCAAGGCGACGAUCCGUAGCGGGUCUGAGAGGAUGAUCCGCCACACUGGGACUGAGACACGGCCCAGACUCCUACGGGAGGCAGCAGUGGGGAAUUUUGGACAAUGGGCGGAAGCCUGAUCCAGCCAUGCCGCGUGAGUGAAGAAGG